rnacentral:rRNA from 1 species
UUCGGAGCAGUGGAGACAGGUGGUGCAUGGUUGUCGUCAGCUCGUGUCGUGAGAUGUUGGGUUAAGUCCCGCAACGAGCGCAACCCUUAUCCUUAGUAGCCAGCGAGUCGAGUCGGGCACUCUGGGGAGACUGCCAGGGAUAACCUGGAGGAAGGUGGGGAUGACGUCAAAUCAUCAUGCCCCUUAUGAUUUGGGCUACACACGUGCUACAAUGGCGUAAACAAAGGGAGGCAAAGGAGCGAUCUGGAGCAAACCCCAAAAAUAACGUCUCAGUUCGGAUUGCAGGCUGCAACUCGCCUGCAUGAAGCUGGAAUCGCUAGUAAUCGCGAAUCAGAAUGUCGCGGUGAAUACGUUCCCGGGUCUUGUACACACCGCCCGUCACACCAUGGGAGUUGGUAACGCCCGAAGUCAGUGACCCAACCGCAAGGAGGGAGCUGCCGAAGGCGGGACUGAUAACUGGGGUGAAGUCGUAACAAGGUAGCCGUAUCGGAAGGUGCGGCUGGAUCACCUCCUUUCUAAGGAA